GAUGAACGCUCGCUCCAGGCUUAACACAUGCAAGUCGAGGGGCAGGGUAAUCAAAGGCUUGCUUUGGGAAGCCGGGGACGGGGGCAGGGGUGGUAAACGCGUACCGAACCUCCCUCUUACCCGGGAAUAGCCUGGGGAAGGAAGGAUAAAUGCCGGUGGUUUUCAGGUCCCCCCAUGGGGCUUUGAACAAAAAUUAAUGGGUUGGGGAGGGCGUUGCGUCCCAUUAGCUUUUUGGCGGGGUAACGGCCCACCAAGGCAUCGAUGGGUAGGGGUUCUGAGAGGAAGGUCCCCCACAUUGGAACUGAGACACGGUCCAAACUCCUACGGGAGGCAGCAGUGAGGAAUAUUGGUCAAUGGGCGGAAGCCUGAACCAGCCAAGUAGCGUGCAGGAAGACGGCCCUCCGGGUUGUAAACUGCUUUUAGUUGGGAAUAAAACGGGGCUCGUGAGCCCCCUUGCAUGUACCAUCAGAAAAAGGACCGGCUAAUUCCGUG
rnacentral:rRNA from 1 species